rnacentral:lncRNA from 1 species
AGCCAUUUAAGAUAACAUUUUAGGUCAUUAUUAAUAAGUUGUGUUAAAGAAGUUUCAUCUGUUCCAGCAUAUACCAGUACAGUGUCAUCUGCAAAGGUCUAUGAAGACAGCUAUAACUAUUUGUUGUUUAUCUAAUGCCAUUGAAAUACAGUCUACAAAAUCCACAACCGCACCAAGUGUACUACUGUUCUUUAUAAAGCCAUAUUGAUAUUUAUCAUUCAAUAGAUUGCAAGAGUUAAUGAAAGAUAA